GACAGAGGGUGCAAACGUUGUUCGGAAUUACUGGGCAUAAAGAGCACGUAGGUGGUUCGCUAAGUCACGUGUGAAAUCUCCCGGCUCAACCGGGAGGGUGCGCCGAAUACUGAAUGACUUCGAGUGCGGGAGAGGAAAGUGGAAUUCCUGGUGUAGCGGUGAAAUGCGUAGAUAUCAGGAGGAACACCGGUGGUGUAGACGGCUUUCUGGACCGUAACUGACGCUGAGACACGAAAGCGUGGGUAGCAAACAGG
rnacentral:rRNA from 1 species